AUCAUAGAGCUAAACCGUGAUGGUGGCUGAGGUGCGGGCCUGUGGUUGGUGGAGCGGACGGGGGAGGGCGGGGAGUUGUGACGUAGACAGUGCUAUAUAUAUGGGUAUGGUAGAAGUUAGUGUUAGUGUGAGUGGAGUGUACGGUAGAACGCACGAAGUGUACUUGACCUGUUAUCAUCUGUCUUCAAAUACUAGUUAUUAAAGCCUAAUAACUACAAGCCUGUCUCCGACUCAUCUUGGGAACGUUACAGUAUUGUAAUAUACACACUAGUUUAAUGAUUGUUCUUCAAAGGUAUUAUUCAGUCUUAAAAAAAUAAUAGCCUACUGAAUAGGAUACUCUACAGCAGUGAAUGAAGGAUGAGCCUAAAACAUGGUCAUGCAUCCAAAAUGUUUAUUUUUAACAAAAUAAACACUUUUUUUUUUUUAAAUUAGCACUUUUUUAAAUUAAGCCUCAUAUGUCAGCCAUGGCUGUUGCUGCUGGCGGAGGCUGUUGCUGCUGAAGGAGGGUGCUGCUGCUGGAGGGUGCUGCUGCUGAAGGAGGCUGGUGCUGGCAACGGCUGCAGGUGAUGACUGCUGAAAGAAGAGGAGGCUGGAGGCUGCUGACGGUGGACCAGGAAUGGAGAUGCCAAGUACAUCGAUGGCAACGAGUAAGGUGUUUGGCAGUGGCCUAGAUGUUAUGACCUUCGGUACAGAGGUCUGUUGGGUCUUCUUUGCCUUCUUACUCUGACUCUUGCUGCCAAGAUACCCUUUAUGUUUAUCCUUCCUCUCAGCCCUGAUGCACUUUGAUGCAAUCCUUAACCUCAGCCUGAUGUAUGUUGAGAGGAUUUUUUUCUUCAGGUCAUGGCAUGAGGGAAGGUUGCUGUCCAGCAACAUGGCUUCUUGUUCCAGCUGUAUUUGAGGACUCCAAUCGCUCAUCCUCACACGGAACAGCUGCUCCACGUUCUGAACAAGGGUGAAAACCUCAUCAGAUGGAUGUUGCCUCAUUAGAUCCUCCACGUGAGCCCGGUCACAACUGGCCCUUGGCAGUCUGGUCCCUAGAGCACCUGACCCUGGCAAACUGGCCUCUUCAUAGCUGACCCCUGACUGACUGGCUCCUGGCACACUGAUCUCUGACACAGGUUUUGUCUGUUGACCAUUGCCAUCCAUCUCUUCCUUCGCUCUACGUCCUUAGGGAAGCCAUACAUCCGGAACCCCUUCUCGGAUCGAUUAGAGCAUCCAAAUGCUGCACAUCCAACCAUGGGCCCAGGAAACAGAUGAAGAGGAUGUCCCUUUCACAAAGGAACCUUUUUGUUUGUUUCAAAAUGGUUAGGCUCCUGGAUGCCUAGAGUUCUGUAUUGCUUUUUUGUAAAUAGUAUUGCUUUUUUGUAAAUAGUUGCUUACCCUAACCCUUUUUUGUAAAUGUGACCUGCUCCAUCGAAAUCAGUCGCAUUGACCCGAAGACACAUUUUAAGUUGUAUACACUGUUGGAAAGAGGAUAUUCCUAGCUUUCUA